rnacentral:rRNA from 1 species
UACAGAGGGGGCAAGCGUUGUUCGGAAUUACUGGGCGUAAAGGGCGUGUAGGCGGCCAACUAAGUCAGACGUGAAAUCCCUCGGCUUAACCGGGGAACUGCGUCUGAUACUGGAUGGCUUGAGUUUGGGAGAGGGAUGCGGAAUUCCAGGUGUAGCGGUGAAAUGCGUAGAUAUCUGGAGGAACACCGGUGGCGAAGGCGGCAUCCUGGACCAACACUGACGCUGAGUGAGCGAAAGCCAGGGGAGCAAAGCGGG